rnacentral:rRNA from 1 species
AAUCUGCCUUUUACUAGGGUAUAGCCCAGAGAAAUUUGGAUUAAUCCCCUAUAAUAUCAUUUAAUCGCAUGAUUUUAUGAUUAAAGCUUCGGCGGUAAAAGAUGAGCAUGCGUCCUAUUAGUUAGUAGGUGAGGUAACGGCUCACCUAGACUCCGAUAGGUAGGGGUCCUGAGAGGGAGAUCCCCCACACUGGUACUGAGACACGGACCAGACUCCUACGGGAGGCAGCAGUGAGGAAUAUUGGACAAUGGACGAAAGUCUGAUCCAGCUAUGCCGCGUGCAGGAUGACGGCCCUAUGGGUUGUAAACUGCUUUUAUACAGGAAGAAAAACUCCGACGUGUCGGAACUUGACGGUACUGUAAGAAUAAGGAUCGGUUAAUUCCGUGCCAGCAGCCGCGGUAAUACGGAGGAUCCAAGCGU